AAAUAAACCUGAUAGCAAUGAUAUUUCGGUGAACUUGCUUUAAUUUAGCACCAACAUUAACGAAAUUUAAUGGAUAGCCGGACUGCAG
rnacentral:sRNA from 1 species